AACGAACGCUGGCGGCAUGCCUAACACAUGCAAGUCGAACGAGACCUUCGGGUCUAGUGGCGCACGGGUGCGUAACGCGUGGGAACCUGCCCUUAGGUUCGGAAUAACUCCCUGAAAGGGGUGCUAAUACCGGUUAAUGUCUUCGGACCAAAGAUUUCUCGCCUUUGGAUGGGCCCGCGUUGGAUUAGCUAGUUGGUAGGGUAAAAGCCUACCAAGGCGACGAUCCAUAGCUGGUCUGAGAGGAUGAUCAGCCACACUGGCACUGAGACACGGCCCAGACUCCUACGGGAGGCAGCAGUGGGGAAUAUUGGACAAUGGGCGAAAGCCUGAUCCAGCAAUGCCGCGUGAGUGAUGAAGGCCUUAGGGUUGUAAAGCUCUUUUACCCGGGAUGAUAAUGACAGUACCGGGAGAAUAAGCUCCGGCUAACUCCGUG
rnacentral:rRNA from 1 species